rnacentral:rRNA from 1 species
UGACUNGAGUGCAGAAGGGGAGAGUGGAAUUCCAUGUGUAGCGGUGAAAUGCGUAGAUAUAUGGAGGAACACCAGUGGCGAAAGCGGCUCUCUGGUCUGUCACUGACGCUGAGGCUCGAAAGCGUGGGUAGCGAACAGGAUUAGAUACCCUGGUAGUNCACGCCGUAAACGAUGAGUGCUAGGUGUUAGGCCCUUUCCGGGGCUUAGUGCCGGAGCUAACGCAAUAAGCACUCCGCCUGGGGAGUACGACCGCAAGGUUGAAACUCAAAGGAAUUGACGGGGGCCCGCACAAGCGGUGGAGCAUGUGGUUUAAUUCGAAGCAACGCGAAGAACCUUACCAGGUCUUGACAUCCCGAUGCUAUUCUUAGAGAUAGGAAGUUACUUCGGUACAUCGGAGACAGGUGGUGCAUGGUUGUCGUCAGCUCGUGUCGUGAGAUGUUGGGUUAAGUCCCGCAACGAGCGCAACCCUUAUUGUUAGUUGCCAUCAUUAAGUUGGGCACUCUAGCGAGACUGCCGGUAAUAAACCGGAGGAAGGUGGGGAUGACGUCAAAUCAUCAUGCCCCUUAUGACCUGGGCUACACACGUGCUACAAUGGUCGGUACAACGAGUUGCGAGCCGGUGACGGCAAGCUAAUCUCUGAAAGCCGAUCUCAGUUCGGAUUGGAGGCUGCAACUCGCCUCCAUGAAGUCGGAAUCGCUAGUAAUCGCGGAUCAGCACGCCGCGGUGAAUACGUUCCCGGGCCUUGUACACACCGCCCGUCACACCACGAGAGUUUGUAACACCCGAAGUCGGUGAGGUAACCUUUUAGGGGCCAGCCGC